GGCAUUUAAUGAUUGUUGGCAAGGAGCGUGCUGCUCACCUGGGCCUGACCAAUGGAUUCCGGAAGAUUGUGAAUGAAGGGUCCGAGGAUGGAGUUGCUGCACAUGUACACGUCACCACUGCAUGGAUUUCGACUGUUGCCCGUCAAUCUAGCCUCUGUCGAUGUCUGAUUUUUCUGUGACGCGUGUCUGUGGAAGGUAAUAAAAGCUUUGAGCAGCAGUUGCACAAUAAAGAUCGAGCAUGGGGAUAUCA